rnacentral:rRNA from 1 species
GAUGAACGCUGGCGGCGUGCCUAAUACAUGCAAGUCGAGCGAACAGACGAGGCGCUUGCUCCUUUCACGUUAGCGGCGGACGGGUGAGUCACACGUGGAUACCCUACCUAUCAGACUGGGAUCACCUCGGGAAACCGGAGCUAAUCCCGGAUAAUAUAUUGAACCGUAUGGUUCAAUAGUGAAAGACGGUUUUGCUGUCACUUAUCGCUGGAUACGAGCGGCAUUAGCUAGUUGGUAGGGUAACGGCUUAUCAAGGCAACGAUGCGUAGCCGACCUGCGAGAGUGAUCGGCCACACGGGAACGGAGACACGGUCCAUGCGACUACGGGAGGCAGCAGUAGGGAAUGGUCCGCAAUGGGCGAGAGCUUGGCGGAACGACGCCGCGUGAGUUAUAAAGGUCUUCGGAGCGGGAUACUGGGUUAUGAGUUAAGAACAAAUUUGUAAUUAACUGUGCACGGCGUGACGGUACCGGGUCAGAAAGCCACGGCUAACUACGUG